rnacentral:rRNA from 1 species
GAAAAGAACUUUGAAAAGAGAGUAAAAUAGUACGUGAAAUUGUUGAAAGGGAAACGAUUGAAGUCAGUCGUACUAACGGGAAAUCAGCUCUUUGAGUGCGAACUUGUGGGCGUGCGUGAGCUUCGGUCUCGCUGUUUGCAACGUUUGUGCUUUUUGGGUGUACUUUUUCGUAUGGUAGGCCAACAUCAGUUUCGGACACCAUAAAAUGACCGGCGGAAUGUAGCUUCGAUCUCGUAUUGAAGUGUUAUAGCCUCUGGUAGAUGUGGUGAUCGGGACUGAGGAUUGCAACGAAUACCUUUUGGGCUAUCCGUCUGACCUCUGAAGGUUACUUAGGUGCCGAAAGCUUGCUUACGGUUAUUUAAGUUGACAGUCAAAAGGCUAGAACGCGAUUAUAUUUGUU